rnacentral:rRNA from 1 species
UGAGUAACGCGUGGAUAAUCUGCCCUCUACUGGGGAAUAACUAACCGAAAGGUUAGCUAAUACCGCAUGAGACCACGAUCCCUGAGGGGAAUGAGGUUAAAGAUUUAUUGGUAGAGGAUGAGUCUGCGUGGGAUUAGCUAGUUGGUGGGGUAACGGCCUACCAAGGCAACGAUCUCUAACAGGUCUGAGAGGAUGACCUGUCACACUGGAACUGAGACACGGUCCAG